UAAAUAAAAUAAGUGGAGAGACCGUGCGACGCGCCUGUGUUUUGUGACGGCGAUAAUCGUAAAUUAAUGUGGUCAUACCCGCCGACGGCAAGGCAAAUGGCAGUAACUGGCGUCAUGUUUGUCGUCGGUGCUUCGUUGUUCGGUGCCGGAGCUUAUCUUUCGUACGUUAACGUUGCUCCUCAGCAGGCUCGCGUGAAAGAACGCAGUGAAGCGAUGAGGAAAUAUCUCAGGAAGCGCCUCGGUGAUUGAUGCAUCGGUCAAAAGUGCAGUAGAUUGAAGUGGAUUGUGAUGAUUUGUGAAUAAUUGAAGUGGUGUUUUGAGAACCUAACUGAAGAGAAUAGAGGCAAUAUCAUUAGCAAAACGAAAUCAGGUUGCCUGACAUAGGCAAUCUCAGGAUUCACGUAGUCGGUUUCGGUGGCUGUUGAAUUGAAAUUAGAUGGUUUAAAUUUCAAUGCAAAUUUGAUUUUUAAAAAAAAAGAAUAAAUCAAAUUAUCAAGCUUGAAAUCUGGAUCUUCUGGUCUCGUCUCGAUCCCAUCGGCCACCAAUAUGUUGAUGGUGAGAAUGUGGAGAUUACUGACUACAAGCAACCUGAAUUUAUGAUGUUGGCAUAAACUCCCAAAGAGAGCCUUAGUUUCUGGAAGGUGGAGGCUUUGAAUGUGUAGCUCGUGGGAGAAAAACAUAUAUUUUUAAUUACCUUCAGCAUAUAUUACAAGGGAAAAGACACUAGCUUGAUUUUACCAAUAUUUUGAUCUUCUCCAAGACUACUACCAUACCUAAAUUUGCCAAAUGGGACAUGCAGCUACUGCGCGACAAGGCAUGUUUAGCAGAAGGUGAGAACAAUAAGAGAAGUGUAUAGUUAAAAUCUGCAUAUGAUGUUGGCCAUCUAGUUUUGCUUGAGUUUCACUGCCCUGGGAUUAGCAGAUAUAAAAGAACAUCUAGCUUGCUUGAAUUUCUUGAGUUUACACUUCCUUAUAUUCGUACCCUCUUGUCUCUGGCUCUCAGCUAACCUUGAGUUUAUACUUAUGAAACACUGAUGUGUCGACACAAAUAUUAAUUUAAAAAUAAAAUAAAAUUGAACGUAAGUGUCAGAUACUAGAUACUGUCACAUAUUAGACAUCAGACACACAUUUAUUUAGACGUGUUUUACUGCAAAUUGCAAACUUGUUAUAAAGGCACACUUUCACAAUGUAGCUAAUAACAUUUGAAUUCAGUAAAUUUUCUUUCA